rnacentral:rRNA from 1 species
AGCGACUGGGGUGAAGUCGUAACAAGGUAACCGUAGGAGAACCUGCGGUUGGAUCACCUCCUUUCAAGA